AUGCACCAUCUCCUUGCCGGCUGCUCUUUCUCUCGCCAAGUUUGGCACUAGAUCCUCGGUUGGGCACGUGUGCCCAUCGGCCUCCUCACCCCUGACACUCCAUUUCAGCUCUGGUGGAGAUCCUCUCUCGACUUUGUGCCGGCAUCCAUGCGCAAGGGUCUAUCCUCCCUCAUCAUCCUGUCUGCUUGGUGGAUUUGGAAGCACCGCAACGCUUGCAUUUUCGACGGAGCUUCACCAUCGAUCACCUUCACCGCCGACUCCAUCAAGGACGAGGCGCACCUCUGGGCCAAAGCGGGCGCCACCGGACUACAUAACAUUAUCCCCGGUGCUUAG
rnacentral:rRNA from 1 species